AUGUACCCACUUACACUCCGGUUUUUCCGCGCCGUCCGCACUCACCUGACGACUGCUCGCUACGUUUUGUUAGCC
rnacentral:sRNA from 1 species